UUGAAAGGGAAACGAUUGAAGUCAGUCGUACCUGUGGGUAAUCAGCCUUUUGGGUGUGAUUUUGUGGAGUGUGAGGAGUUAAACGCCUUCAUGCCUGCAUAUUCGUGCACUUUGGGUGUAUUUAUCCGUGUGGUAAGUUAACAUCAAUUUCGGUGGUCAUAAAAUGGCUGGAGGAAUGUAGCUUUGAUCUCGUAUUGAAGUGUUAUAGCCUUCGGUAGAUGUGAUAAUCGGGAUUGAGGAUUGCAACGGAUACCCUUCGGGGCUACCUGUCUGAUCUCUGAUCGUUGCUCUGGUGCCGAAAGCUUGCUUACGGUUAUCAAAGUCGAUGGUCAAUAGGUUAGAAUGGGUUAAAUUCGUUAAGGAUGUUGACGUA
rnacentral:rRNA from 1 species